CAUCCUUCUUCCAUCUUUUAAAUUCCCCCAGAGGUCUCAAUUGAAUAAUCAAGAAAACCCAGGGUAUCUGAUAAUCAGAUGACCAGCCAGAAGAGUCAGAAGAAGGCCAAGGAAAAGGAGAAAAUUGAAGAAAAAAAGAAAAGAAAAGAAAGGAGGUUAGAGAUGAGAGCAGGAGAGGAAGAGAAGGAAAGGGACAGGCCAGUUAGGCACCGUGUCUAAGGGUGCUGCCUCCUUGAUCUUCUGUCUCUGAGAUCAUACCCAUCUGCUUGUUAAUACUUGAGUGGAUUCUUGACUCUAAACUCUACAGGGACAGCAACAAGGUGGAUUACUUCAAGACUUACCUGACUUCCUGGAAUGAACAAUAUGGUUUAUUUAUAGUUAACUGCUGCAUCUAGGAGACCCGCAGAACUCUGGUUGGGUCCUGUCCCCCUAGCCAGUUUGGUCUGAUAUGCUCUGAACCCUCUUCUUGUCCUGCUGCAUCAGCACUGACAACAAGUCUUCUUCUGCAGCUCCUGCCACUGUUAAUUUGGACCCGUCACUUCCUUGCAGUAGAGCUGAUAGGCCAACUGCAGAACCGUAGUCUGCCUCCAACUGUUCACUCUAGAGUAUACAGAUGUCUCCCUGUGUUUCUUCUACUUUAGAUAUUUCGGCCAUUUGCUAUCACACAUAUUCAUGCGAAUGCAGGAAUUUCACGAGGUACAAUUCUCUUCCAAUGUAAACCUGUUCUGUGAAUGCCUUCUGCAAUAAAAU
rnacentral:lncRNA from 1 species